rnacentral:rRNA from 1 species
GCCCAGACUCCUACGGGAGGCAGCAGUGGGGGAUAUUGCACAAUGGGGGGAACCCUGAUGCAGCGACGCCGCGUGGGUGAAGGAGUAUUUCGGUAUGUAAAGCCCUAUCGGCAGGGAAGAAGCAAGACGGUACCUGACUAAGAAGCCCCGGCUAACUACGUGCCAGCAGCCGCGGGAAUACGUAGGGGGCGAGCGUUAUCCGGAUUCACUGGGUGUAAAGGGAGCGUAGACGGCCAAGCAAGCCAGGGGUGAAACCCCGGGGCUCAACCCCGGGCAUGCAUUGGAAACUGGCGGGCUGGAGUGCCGGAGAGGUAAGCGGAAUUCCUAGUGUAGCGGUGAAAUGCGUAGAUAUUAGGAGGAACACCGGUGGCGAAGGCGGCCUGCUGGACUGUGACUGACGUUGAGGCCCGAAGGCGUGGGGAGCAAACAGGAUUAGAUACCCUGGUAU